UACGGAGGGGGCUAGCGUUGUUCGGAAUUACUGGGCGUAAAGCGCGCGUAGGCGGACCUGCAAGUCGGGGGUGAAAGCCCGCGGCUCAACCUCGGAACUGCCUUCGAUACUGCGGGUCUCGAGUCCGGGAGAGGUGAGUGGAAUUCCUAGUGUAGAGGUGAAAUUCGUAGAUAUUAGGAAGAACACCAGUGGCGAAGGCGGCUCACUGGCCCGGUACUGACGCUGAGGCGCGAAAGCGUGGGAGCAAACAGG
rnacentral:rRNA from 1 species